rnacentral:rRNA from 1 species
UACGAAGGGGGCUAGCGUUGUUCGGAUUUACUGGGCGUAAAGCGCACGUAGGCGGAUUGUUAAGUGAGGGGUGAAAUCCUGGAGCUCAACUCCAGAACUGCCUUCAUACUGGCAAUCUAGAGUCCGGAAGAGGUAAGUGGAACUCCUAGUGUAGAGGUGGAAUUCGUAGAUAUUAGGAAGAACACCAGUGGCGAAGGCGGCUUACUGGUCCGGUACUGACGCUGAGGUGCGAAAGCGUGGGGAGCAAACAGG